CGAGUUGGCCGGACGGCUGCGGCUCGAAGGACGGGCGAACGAGUGUCGUCGCGCUUCGAGCCGAGGAAAGUCCGGACUCCACAGAGCAGGGCGGUUGUUAACGGCAACCCGAGGUGACUCGCGGGACAGUGCCACAGAAAACAGACCGCCUGCGGAUCGGUUCUUCGGAAUCGAACGGCAGGUCAGGGUGAAACGGUGCGGUAAGAGCGCACCAGCAUCCCAGGUGACUGGGAUGGCUAGGUAAACCCCGCCCGGAGCAAGGUCGAAGGCUGCACCCCGAAAGUGGUGCAGCUGCGCAGGUGCUCGAGGGCUGCUCGCCCGAGCCUGCGGGUGGACUGCUCGAGGUACCCGGCAACGGUGUGCCCAGAUGGAUGGUCGUCGACGUCGAACCCGCGAAAGCAGGAACGGCAGACAGGAUCCGGCUUACAGGCCGACUCGUUCG
rfam:Rhodococcus sp. B7740, complete genome.